rnacentral:rRNA from 1 species
UACGUAGGGGGCUAGCGUUGUUCGGAAUCACUGGGCGUAAAGCGCACGUAGGCGGAUUGCUAAGUCAGGGGUGAAAUCCUGGAGCUCAACUCCAGAACUGCCUUUGAUACUGGCGAUCUUGAGUCCGGGAGAGGUGAGUGGAACUGCGGGUGUAGAGGUGAAAUUCGUAGAUAUUCGCAAGAACACCAGUGGCGAAGGCGGCUCACUGGCCCGGUACUGACGCUGAGGUGCGAAAGCGUGGGGAGCAAACAGG